GACGAACGCUGGCGGCGUGCCUAAUACAUGCAAGUAGGACGCAGUUGCGAACGGGUGAGUAACGCGUAGGUAACUACCUAUUAGAGGGGGAUAACUAUUGGAAACGAUAGCUAAUACCGCAUACUAGUAGAUGGACCUGCGUUGUAUUAGCUAGUAGGUAGGGUAAUGGCCUACCUAGGCAACGAUACAUAGCCGACCUGGGAGGGAGAUCGGGCCCAAUGGGAAUGGGAACCGGGCCCGAAUCCUACGGGAGGCAGCAGGAGGGAAUCUUCGGAAAUGGGGGGAACCCUGAACGAGCAAAGCCGCGGGAGUGAAGAAGGUUUUCGGAUCGUAAAGCUCUGUUGUUAAGGAAGCGGUACUUAACCAGAAAGGAACGGCUAACUACGUGCCAGCCGCCGCGGUAAUUC
rnacentral:rRNA from 1 species